AGCUUCACUGUGGUGUGGUGUUUUUUUUGUUUUAAAUAUCCAGUUGUUCAGUGUUGUAAGUAAUUAUAAUGUAGUUUAAACUCACUUCUAUGUAUAACUACAAUGUUCCUGUAAUAUUUAUUUCUGGCUGUUGGUUCACAUGCUAUAGGAAUUAGCUUUUGGUUUUGGGAGAUAGCAGCGUUAAUGUGAGGUUAUGGUGAAAAUCAAAUGAACUGCCGAGGUAACUGCUGUUGCCUGCCAGUGGAUGAGUUUGUAAUGUUGUGAGGUUGCUCUUCAGAGAUCAGACUUUAUUGCAAUAUUUGAUUAAUUGAAGAAGCAAAGAACAGCAAAUGCUCUUUACUACUGCUCUUUGGGUUCUCCUCAUAGCAACUUGAGGAAGGUCACUACUGGUGUAUCUGACUGUACCAUUAAUGUUUGAACAGGCAGAGAUAAUGUUUUGUUUAUUAACCCUGCAGUGGCCAAGGACUUGCUCCUUUUAUAACAAGUUGUUCAAUGAUUACAAUAUUCAACUUUGACAAUGGAGAUACCAAUGUUUUUUUCCACUGUUGCUGCUGGUCUGCUCACUCUCCAGGGCUCAUCUUCAGAGUCAAGAUGGAAAACAAACCGAAUCCCAAGAAAUGGACCCAGUAAGUACCUCUGAACACCAUCCGCCCUGUACGUCCAAGCGGCCCUGAGAGAGGUGGCAGUGGCCAAAGGAUCCUGUCUCUGUUGGCUACACAAACAAGAUGAUCACCAACAAUGGGAAACACAUGCUUUACAUUUUCCCUCUUCAAGAACAAAUUGACACUACACCCCUUCUCUAUUAAGAUGUGGAUGGUGCACCUGAAGACCUGCUGAGUACAUCAACUCCAGAACUUGGAGGCACGUGGCCCAGUGAAGAAGACAACUCAAAACGUCGUGGGCUCACACUACAAACCUCCAGACAACAAUUCAGAUAGCUUGAUGACGAUGAACCCAUCUGACCAGCAGAGGGUUGAAAUCAGCAGCCUGGCCUUUUCUUGGGACUUGCCACCAGCAAUUCAGAGACAGCUAUUAUUUCAUCAUGUGCCACUCCAUCCCAGCUUAGCCAGCUGCUGAAGUUUUGGCUAUGAUGGGGUCAUCAAGGCAGAGUACCUCGCAUCCGCUCCCUGCUGUUACACUGCAUGUGCCUGGACCACAGUUACCUCAGUGUCCUCAUGAGCAGUGGUCCCCAACCCCCGGGCCGCGGACCGGUACCGGUCCGUGGAUCAAUUGGUACCGGGCCGCACAAG